rnacentral:rRNA from 1 species
GCAGCACGGGUGCUUGCACCUGGUGGCGAGUGGCGAACGGGUGAGUAAUACAUCGGAACAUGUCCUGUAGUGGGGGAUAGCCCGGCGAAAGCCGGAUUAAUACCGCAUACGAUCUACGGAUGAAAGCGGGGGACCUUCGGGCCUCGCGCUAUAGGGUUGGCCGAUGGCUGAUUAGCUAGUUGGUGGGGUAAAGGCCUACCAAGGCGACGAUCAGUAGCUGGUCUGAGAGGACGACCAGCCACACUGGGACUGAGACACGGCCCAGACUCCUACGGGAGGCAGCAGUGGGGAAUUUUGGACAAUGGGCGAAAGCCUGAUCCAGCAAUGCCGCGUGUGUGAAGAAGGCCUUCGGGUUGUAAAGCACUUUUGUCCGGAAAGAAAUCCUUGGCUCUAAUACAGUCGGGGGAUGACGGUACCGGAAGAAUAAGCACCGGCUAACUACGUGCCAGCAGCCGCGGUAAUACGUAGGGUGCGAGCGUUAAUCGGAAUUACUGGGCGUAAAGCGUGCGCAGGCGGUUUGCUAAGACCGAUGUGAAAUCCCCGGGCUCAACCUGGGAACUGCAUUGGUGACUGGCAGGCUAGAGUAUGGCAGAGGGGGGUAGAAUUCCACGUGUAGCAGUGAAAUGCGUAGAGAUGUGGAGGAAUACCGAUGGCGAAGGCAGCCCCCUGGGCCAAUACUGACGCUCAUGCACGAAAGCGUGGGGAGCAAAC